rnacentral:sRNA from 1 species
GGGUGAGUGUCCCCUUCCUCCCUCACUGCUCCAAGUGCAUCCCAUCUGAAGCUGCACACUCAGGCAAAGAGGAUGAUUUUUCCUGCUACAGAAGGAUCAUUCUUUGGUCAAGGAUAUACAAGUAACUGCACUCCCCUGUUAGAACCUUCAGACAAGCUACAUGUUUAAUUUUAUGGUAGAUCUUUAUCCCUUUAUACCUCCUCAAUCCACUGUCUAGUG